GACGAACGCUGGCGGCGUGCCUAAUACAUGCAAGUCGAACGCUUUUUCUUUCACCGGAGCUUGCUCCACCGAAAGAAAAAGAGUGGCGAACGGGUGAGUAACACGUGGGUAACCUGCCCAUCAGAAGGGGAUAACACUUGGAAACAGGUGCUAAUACCGUAUAACACUAUUUUCCGCAUGGAAGAAAGUUGAAAGGCGCUUUUGCGUCACUGAUGGAUGGACCCGCGGUGCAUUAGCUAGUUGGUGAGGUAACGGCUCACCAAGGCAACGAUGCAUAGCCGACCGGAGAGGGUGAUCGGCCACACUGGGACUGCGACACGGCCCAGACUCCUACGGGAGGUAGCAGUAGGGAAUCUUCGGCAAUGGACGAAAGUCUGACCGAGCAACGCCGCGUGAGUGAAGAAGGUUUUCGGAUCGUAAAACUCUGUUGUUAGAGAAGAACAAGGAUGAGAGUAAAAUGUUCAUCCCUUGACGGUAACUAACCAGAAAGCCACGGCUAACUACGUGCCAGCAGCCGCAGUAA
rnacentral:rRNA from 1 species